AGUGAACGCUGGCGGUAGGCCUAACACAUGCAAGUCGAACGGCAGCACAGUAAGAGCUUGCUCUUACGGGUGGCGAGUGGCGGACGGGUGAGGAAUACAUCGGAAUCUACUUUUUCGUGGGGGAUAACGUAGGGAAACUUACGCUAAUACCGCAUACGACCUACGGGUGAAAGCAGGGGAUCUUCGGACCUUGCGCGAUUGAAUGAGCCGAUGUCGGAUUAGCUAGUUGGCGGGGUAAAGGCCCACCAAGGCGACGAUCCGUAGCUGGUCUGAGAGGAUGGUCAGCCACACUGGAACUGAGACACGGUCCAGACUCCUACGGGAGGCAGGAGUGGGGAAUAUUGGACAAGGGGCGCAAGCCUGAUCCAGCCAUACCGCGUGGGUGAAGAAGGCCUUCGGGUUGUAAAGCCCUUUUGUUGGGAAAGAAAAGCAGCAGGUUAAUACCCCGCUGUUCUGACGGUACCCAAAGAAUAGCACCGGCUAACUUCGUG
rnacentral:rRNA from 1 species